UGGGGUGUGGCUCAGUGGUAGAGUGCUCACCUAGCAUGUGUGAGGCCCUGGGUUCUAUCCUCAACACCACAU
rnacentral:tRNA from 1 species